GUCACCUGUACAAUGUCAUGAACCUCCGUCCAUAGUUCAUCAGGCACUCUAUCAGAUCUAGUCCCUUAAAUCUAUUUCUCACUUCCACUGUAUAAUCAUAAGGCAUUUGACUUAGGUCAUACCUGAAUGGUCUAGUGGUUUUCCCUUCUUUCUUCAACUUGUCUGAAUUUUAUUUUAAUAUAAAUUUUGUUUUAUAUUGUUUAUAUAAAAUUUUAUAAAAUAUAAAUUUUAUAAUAAAUAUAAAUAUAUUAUAUAAAUUUAAUGUAUAAAAUUUAAUAUAUAAAUAAUAUUAAUAUAUAUGCCAGCCCAGAGUAGAAAAAGGUGCGAUUUCUAACUGAUAUGGGGGCAGCACAACAGGUGUCAGGAAGAGGGCUUGGCCUACAGCACACUCUUGUUGCAGGAAGGGAGACCCCUUCCAGGCCUGAGAGUGGGCUUUUGUCUAACAGUUGGAAAUGAGUUGUCUGAUGAGACACACAAGCUGACAAAGCAAAAAACUUUAUUGGGAAGAGGUGCCUGGACUGAGAGCAGGAGGUUAAGGGACACCGGGAGGUCUGCUCUGCCAUCUGACUCGCUGUGCUGGGUUUUAUGGUGAUGGGCUUAGUUUUUGGGUUGUAUCUGGACAAUUAUUCUGACUCAGGGUCCUUCCCGGUGGCACAUGCAUUGCUCAGCCAAGAUGGAUGACAGUGAGAAGGAUUCUGGGAGGUGCUAGGACACGUGGCAUCUCCUUUUGAUCUUUCCUGAACUCUUUCAGUUGGUGGUGGCUUAUUAGUUCCAUGUUCCUUACUAGGACCUUUUGUCAUAAAAUAACUCAGGCAAAUGGUUACUAUGGUGCCUGGCCAGGUUGGGCGGUUUCAAUCAGUAUGUUUCCCCUAACACUUUGACAUCUUUUGCUUUAUGAACAGCUGCUCCCUUAAUCCUCAACUCAAGCAUCAUCUCUUCCAAAAAGCCUUUCCUGGGGACUUCCCUGGUGAUCCAGCAGUUGGGACUUUGCCUUCCAGUGCAGAGGGUGUGGGUUUGAUUCCUGGUCAGAGAGCUAACAUGCCUCUCAGCCAAAAAACCAAGACCUCCAUUUCAGAACCCCUAAAAGUCUCUUGCUGUUAUGUCAUCAGGCUGGAAGUCUAGGAUCUUACAAUCUACAUCAGGUUUGUAGGUG
ensembl:lncRNA